AGACCAAAGAAGAGAAGGACUCUGAUUCAUCAAGCUCUGACAAGUCCAAGAAGCAUAAAGAGGAAUCUGAUUCUUCAAGUUCAGAAGAGACCAAAGAAGAGAAGGACUCUGAUUCAUCCAGCUCUGGUAAACAACAACAACGCACAACUAGAUAUACUAUAGCAUUACCUACGAUAAUCCUCGUGUGUUGGCCCCAAAUUUUCAGUUGAUGUAAAACUGGUCACA